UCAGACGAUGCGUCAUGCAUAUCAAUAAGCGGAGGAAAAGAAACUAACAAGGAUUCCCCUAGUAACGGCGAGUGAAGGGGGAAGAGCUCAAAUUUGAAAUCUUAAAGGGUUUCCCUUUACGAAUUGUAGUUUAGAGAAGUGUUUUCUGUUGAGGUUUUGGUAAAAGUUCUUUGGAAUAGGACAUCAUAGAGGGUGAGGAUCCCGUAUUUGACCUUUACUUUCAACUUUGUGAUACACUUUCAAAGAGUCGGAUUGUUUGGGAAUGCAGUCCAAAAUGGGUGGUAAAUUUCAUCUAAAGCUAAAUAUUGGCGAGAGACCGAUAGCGAACAAGUACCGUGAGGGAAAGAUGAAAAGAACUUUGAAAAGAGAGUUAAACAGUACGUGAAAUUGUCAAAAGGGAAGCGUUUGACACCAGUGUUGUUUUUCUGAAAAUCAAUUAAAGAACUGUUUAUGCUAAGUUGUUUAGACUUUAUCAGCUAACUGUUUAGUUUUGAGCUUUUCUUUAAUGCACUUUUCAGUUAACAAGUCAACAUCAAUUUCUUUUGCUGUAAAAAAGCUUGAGGAAGGUGGCUUGAGAUUCGUCUUAAGUGUUUAUAGCCUCUUGCCUAUGCAGUCGGAGAGAUUGAGGUCUGCAGCGUAGAUCCUUCGGGGCUAAAUGCAUUUGUGCUAAGUUAUAGCAUUUCAUAGACAACUUGUUGACUAUGAUUUGUCUUGUAGCUUACUCGCUUAUGUUAUUUUACCUACGCUUAGGAUGUUGAAUCUGUGCGAGACUAC
rnacentral:rRNA from 1 species